GACCUAAAAGCUGCUGAAGAUUUCAGUAAAAUUUUGUUGUUCUAGUGAUGAUUUCAAGUAAAUGAGGUUUUACUUGAUAGAAGAUAAAAAAAAAUGAAGGUAGAAGAACAGGAAGUCAUAUGAUAAGAAAGACGAAGAAUUUGAAAGAAAAAGUAAUUUCUUUGUCAAGUUGAAAAAUCAUAACCAUAGUUAUAAUGAUAAUUAAACUUAAAUUGAAGCUAAUGGCAGGGGUGCAAACUGAUUUUAUAGGGGUUGACUUAAUUUAAACAUUAUUAUUAUACAGCAUACAUGAGAACAAGGAAGCUCGUCACGUGGUUGUUGUUGAGUUGUUGCUGUGUCUCUUACUAAGUUGGGCAUGGAAAUAGACAAUGGCUGUUCUGUAAAAAUAGGGGAGGAAGGUCCAGCUGCCAAAAUAAGAAGGCAAAUUAGUUUUUGUGUGAGUAAAAGGAAAUAGAAAGGAUGGACCCCUUUCCUCUAAUAACAUUUCUUUUACAGACGGUGACCCCACUAGUUAAACAAGAAGCUAAGUUGAUUUCGGAAGCCAGGGAUAAUGGUGCGCUUACUUCAUGCUGAGUUGCAGUUCAUUAACAAGCACCUCCGAACAUGUUACGACAGAUUUUUGGAAGAUAGCAUGUUGAAGGAAUGGCUGAUGAUCCAAGAUUUAGCGCUCGAGGAAAAGGAUAUCAUCGACACAUUUGAAACUAAAUGUUGGAACAAAAUCAGCAGCAACACAUAAAUGACAAUAAAUUGCUUAAGAACUAAAAUGAAAACCAAGAGCAAAAGAAGAGAACUUGAGAACAGAAAACAUGGAUAAAAA
rnacentral:lncRNA from 1 species